GAUCCUGGCUUAGGAUGAACGCUGGCGGCAGGCUUAAUACAUGCAAGUCGAACGGUAAGGCCGAGCGUAGCAAUACGUGAGGUACACGAGUGGCGCACGGGUGCGUAACGCGUAUGCAAUCUGCCCCCGACCGGGACAAAACAGCUGGAAACGGCUGCUAAUAUCCCAUGGUCAUGAGAGACGGCAUCGUUUUUCAUGUAAAGAUUCAUUGGUCGGGGAUGAGCAUGCGUAUUAUUAGGUAGUUGGUGGGGUAACGGCCCACCAAGCCGACGAUGAUUAGGGGUUCUGAGAGGAUUAACCCCCACACUGGAACUGAGACACGGUCCAGACUCCUACGGGAGGCAGCAGUAGGGAAUAUUGGGCAAUGGAGGCAACUCUGACCCAGCCAUGCCGCCGUGAAGGAAGACGGCCCUAUGGGUUGUAAACUUCUUUUGCCGCAGAGUAAACCCGGUCACGUGUGGCCGGUUGAGAGUAUGCGGCGAAUAAGUAUCGGCUAACUCCGUGCCAGCCGCAGC
rnacentral:rRNA from 1 species